rnacentral:lncRNA from 1 species
CUUUUUUACCUUUUUGUUUUUUGAAAUGGAAAUACCUAACUAACCUAAAUAAUAAGAACUUCCCCCUUGACAGUGGUAUAUGUUGUAUAUGUAAAUCCUAGAUGUGAAAAUAUAUGGAAUUCCUCUAUGAAAGGUAAAAAAAAAAAAAAAAAGAAAAACGCAAAGAAAAGAAUAGGCUAGGCAUAAAUCGAUAUGCUGAAAUUGAAAUAAAAAAUAAAUAAGAAGAGGAGCCCAUUAGAUACAAAUAAUGAAUCGUAAUAAAAAUCGAAAAGAAAGUUCAGGUUCGAAUUCCAUAGAAUAAAUAAUAUGGAUGGGCUUGUCUAUAAUGAUAGACAAAUGAAAGACUUUCUCAAG